UACAGAGGGUGCAAGCGUUAAUCGGAAUUACUGGGCGUAAAGCGUGCGUAGACGGUAGCGUAAGUCGGGUGUGAAAGCCCCGGGCUCAACCUGGGAAUUGCAUUCGAGACUGCUCUGCUAGGGUGCGGAAGAGGGAAGCGGAAUUUCCGGUGUAGCGGUGAAAUGCGUAGAGAUCGUAAGGAGGACCAGUGGCGAAGGCGAGUUUCUGGACAGUUACUGACGCUGAGGCACGAAGGCCAGGGGAGCAAACGGG
rnacentral:rRNA from 1 species